AUUCGCUCCAACAAAUUUGACCAAGGAAAAAAAUAAAAAUUUAUGAGGUCGAAAACAAGGAAGCACUUUGGGUUUCUUUUUCCCAUUUGACAACUGUCUCAUUCAAUUUUUCUUUCCUACAACUCUCGAUCAUCUCUGUUUCGAUCUCUCAAUCACAGUCCCGUUCCUCUUACUUUCAAUCUCGAUCUCUGUCGAUCUCCGUAUCGUGCCCUCUCAGUCUCAGUCUUGUUUUCGAUCUCUGUCUUGAUAUUCCACUCGCAAUCUCGUUCCUCUUAAAGUCUAAAUCGUCGCCAUCUACAUCGGUAAAUCGAAUGGUGUAAUCGAAUUUGACAUUGAAGUAAGAGCUCGAUGAGACUUCAGUCAAAACAUAAAAGUUUGAUUUGGCACUUAGAAUAACUAAACAGUUAGUCUUCAAAUCUUCAAGAUUAAUGCUGCUGGCGCUUGUUAUUACUUUUGUCAGAUCCUUAAACUCUUUAUCACAAAUUGUAUACUCGGUGUUGGAGAUGUGGUUGUUUUGUUGUGAUGUGGACAUGGCAUGGGUUUGAGAAAGCUUGUGUCAUUUAAGGAGAGAUGUGAGAAUACGAUGGACUAUGUAAAAAGGCUUAGGCGAGGGAGGUUCAUGACGAAGUGAAUCUAACGAGAGAAAAAAACAUUUGAAGCCAGGUCUAGGUAGAAGUUUCCAAGAUUGGUAGUGCGAGUGUGUGGAGACCAAAUUUAGAAAUCAUAUAUACUUGGUCUAUGUCAGAAAAUGAGUUUAUGUUUCUGUAAUGUUUUUCUAUGUUUUAAUAUCAUAAGGUAUUUCCUCUUUUA